GUGCUUACUUCAGCAGCACAUAUACUAAAAUUAGAACAGUUUCGGCAUGAGUAUGGCCCCUGCACAAGGAUGACGUGCAGAUUCGUGAUACAUUCCUUAUUUUU
ensembl:snRNA U6 U6 spliceosomal RNA